GGACUGGGUUCUUCAGUCACUCCCUGAAUCAUAUGAUAAGUUCAUUAGAGAGUAUCAUAUGAUGAAACUUGACGCAACCCUCAUUGACUUGACUUAUAUGCUUAUUGCUGCUGAAUCAGAAAUGAUUUGGCGAAGUAAUGGAGCAUAUUUGUCUGAUAACUCAACCAACCAUGCUUCCAUGGACACCACCUGUUCCUGCUGCCAAGGGAAGGGGCAAUGGAUACGAAGCUGCCCGAAGGACCUGAAGAAUCUAAGAGAUAGGAGAGUCGAUAAGUAUGGCUCUACUUCAGGUAUAAAAUCCACUAUCUAACUCCAUUUAAAUUCCUAUUCUUUAUUCAUAAUGUGAUAAGAUUACAUUUGCAUGUUUUGCAGGAUUAGAGAAAAGAGAGGAAGUUUGAUGGAAGAGCAAGAUGAGUCUGAUCACGAAGAAAUGGAUUUCGAUCGCAUGAAUUCGAAGAUCAGAUUUUGAGCUUAGGAAGUUAUGAUAGAUUUGUUAGGAGUAUAUGAUUACAUAGUUUUUCAUUUGAAUUUUGCAUUGUAAGGACAUGUUUUCCGCUGUUUUUUUG
rnacentral:lncRNA from 1 species